rnacentral:rRNA from 1 species
AUUGAACGCUGGCGGCAUGCUUUACACAUGCAAGUCGAACGGUAACAGGUUAAGCUGACGAGUGGCGAACGCGUGAGUAAUGCAUCGGAACGUGCCCGGUCGUGGGGGAUAACGCAGCGAAAGCUGCGCUAAUACCGCAUACGAUCUGAGGAUGAAAGCGGGGGACCGUAAGGCCUCGCGCCAUCGGAGCGGCCGAUGUCAGAUUAGGUAGUUGGUGAGGUAAAGGCUCACCAAGCCAACGAUCUGUAGCUGGUCUGAGAGGACGACCAGCCACACUGGGACUGAGACACGGCCCAGACUCCUACGGGAGGCAGCAGUGGGGAAUUUUGGACAAUGGGCGAAAGCCUGAUCCAGCAAUGCCGCGUGCAGGAAGAAGGCCUUCGGGUUGUAAACUGCUUUUGUACGGAGCGAAAAGGCUCUCUCUAAUACAGGGGGCUCAUGACGGUACCGUAAGAAUAAGCACCGGCUAACUACGUGCCAGCCGCCGCCGUAA